rnacentral:rRNA from 1 species
UACGUAGGCAGCAAGCGUUGUUCGGAGUUACUGGGCGUAAAGGGUGCGUAGGCGGUCCCUAUAAGUAUGGGUGUGAAAUCUCCCGGCUUAACUGGGAGGGUGCGCUAUAGACUGUGGGACUAGAGUGUGGGAGAGGAAAGUGGAAUUCCUGGUGUAGCGGUGAAAUGCGUAGAUAUCAGGAGGAACACCGGUGGUGUAAACGGCUUUCGUGGACCAAUAACUGAACCGCUGAGGCACGAAAAGCGUGGGUAGCAAACAGG